ACCGAAUUAUACAUACACUGUCGUCCGUUAGACCAGAAAUUAUUGCAGUCGUGAUUUGAGCGUAGAUCGAAACGGUCGACAAGACAAACUAGUAUAUAUACAGAAAGCGAUCGUUGAUUUUGGUGUAAAUUGUGAAUUUGCACAAGAAAGACGUGUGCUGUAUGGUGACAACGACAAUAAUUAUUUUGUAGUGCCUAUAAUAUAAUAUACAUAAUACGUGGUUUGUGAAUGGAAGAGAGACGCGAGAAGAAGACGAAAAUAUAGAACCACAAAUAUAUCUUAGCUCUUAAAAAG